UCGAACGGUAACAUUUCUAGCUUGCUAGAAGAUGACGAGUGGCGGACGGGUGAGUAAUGCUUGGGAACUUGCCUUUGCGAGGGGGAUAACAGUUGGAAACGACUGCUAAUACCGCAUAAUGUCUUCGGACCAAACGGGGCUAGGCUCCGGCGCAAAGAGAGGCCCAAGUGAGAUUAGCUAGUUGGUAAGGUAACGGCUUACCAAGGCGGCGAUCUCUAGCUGCUCUGAGAGGAAGAUCAGCCACACUGGGACUGAGACACGGCCCAGACUCCUACGGGAGGCAGCAGUGGGGAAUAUUGCACAAUGGGGGAAACCCUGAUGCAGCCAUGCCGCGUGUGUGAAGAAGGCCUUCGGGUUGUAAAGCACUUUCAGACGUGAGGAAAAGUUAGUAGUUAAUACCUGCUAGCCGUGACGUUAACAACAGAAGAAGCACCGGCUAACUCCGUGCCAGCAGCCGCGGUAAUACGGAGGGUGCGAGCGUUAAUCGGAAUUACUGGGCGUAAAGCGCACGCAGGCGGUUUGUUAAGCUAGAUGUGAAAGCCCCGGGCUCAACCUGGGAUGGUCAUUUAGAACUGGCAGACUAGAGUCUUGGAAAGGGGAGUGGAAUUCCAGGUGUAGCGGUGAAAUGCGUAGAGAUCUGGAGGAACAUCAGUGGCGAAGGCGACUCCCUGGCCAAAGACUGACGCUCAUGUGCGAAAGUGUGGGUAGCGAACAGGAUUAGAUACCCUGGUAGUCCACACCGUAAACGCUGUCUACUAGCUGUGUGUGUCUUUAA
rnacentral:rRNA from 1 species